GUGAACGCUGGCGGUAGGCCUAACACCUGCAAGUCGCACGGCAGCACAGUAAGAGCUUGCUCUUACGGGUGGCGAGUGGCGGACGGGUGAGGAAUACAUCGGAAUCUACUUUUUCGUGGGGGAUAACGUAGGGAAACUUACGCUAAUACCGCAUACGACCUACGGGUGAAAGCAGGGGAUCUUCGGACCUUGCGCGAUUGAAUGAGCCGAUGUCGGAUUAGCUAGUUGGCGGGGUAAAGGCCCACCAAGGCGACGAUCCGUAGCUGGUCUGAGAGGGUGAUCAGCCACACUGGAACUGAGACACGGUCCAGACUCCUACGGGAGGCAGCAGUGGGGAAUAUUGGACAAUGGGCGCAAGCCUGAUCCAGCCAUACCGCGUGGGUGAAGAAGGCCUUCGGGUUGUAAAGCCCUUUUGUUGGGAAAGAAAAGCAGCAGGUUAAUACCCCGCUGUUCUGACGGUACCCAAAGAAUAAGCACCGGCUAACUUCGUG
rnacentral:rRNA from 1 species